UUCAAUUAAGAGAAUUUCUAAAGUGAGAGAAAUAAGAUGUCUAGGAAAAGUAUGACAAAACUUAUGUUGGUAAUGAUGGAGUUGAUUAUCCUUGUGAUACUCAAAGUACAUGCUAAUAAUCCUACCACUCCCUCUUCUGCUCACACAACACUACCAACCAACAUUCAUCUCUUCCAACUUGAUAAAGCGGAUACAAGUUAUAUUGAUCAUUGCAUUGAAACCACAUUCAAGAAGUGUAAAUUAACAGAACCAUUUUAUACAGCUCAACAUCUUAUUCGAUGCCUUUUUCGAAGUCCAACACAUCCUAAACAUUUUCCCAUCAACCUUGGUGAUAUGAUAUUAGAUUGCUUUAAGCAUUGUUAUAUGAAAUUGAGACUUCUUGGCUAUCAUCAUGCACAUUGUCUAGUACAGUGCUACGAAGAGGAAACGAAGAAGCAUAAUAUCAAGAAUUAAUAAGCUUCGAGUUUGGUGACUAAGAUGGAAUUGUAGAUUGGCGAGCGAGAUCUUGAAUGUCUGGACCGUAAUAAGGGGUUCGAUGGACUUAUGCUUUGCUGGUUUACCUUGUUGUGUCCUUUGGGUUCCAGUAUAUGAUAUGAUAUGUAUUUUCAUGUGUUACUAAAUAUUGAGGCCCAAAAUCUUGUGGCUUCUAUGUUGUGAGGAAAAAUGUUAUGACAUGUAUCAAUUGAAGAGUAAGACUUUGUAACAAUUAUAUUUAAUGAAAUGAAGUUAUAAUUCUUGAGGUU